rnacentral:lncRNA from 1 species
CAAAUCAUAUAUCAAGCCGAUAAAAUCUUCUGGAAAUCCCAUCUUUCUUAGCACUUUUGUCAAGAAAAGCCAUGAUAAUCUAUCAUACGCUUUUGUCAUAUCUAGCUUUAUCACCACAUUUGGUCCUGCUUUCGUUCUCACCCUGAUAUCCUUAAUGAUUUCUUGUGUUAGCAGAACAUUCUCUACAAUAUUUCUUCCCUUCACGAAACCUGCUUGCUCCU